rnacentral:rRNA from 1 species
UACGGAGGGGGCUAGCGUUGUUCGGAAUUACUGGGCGUAAAGCGCGCGUAGGCGGCUUUGUAAGUUAGAGGUGAAAGCCCAGGGCUCAACCCUGGAAUUGCCUUUAAGACUGCAUCGCUUGAACAUCGGAGAGGUAAGUGGAAUUCCGAGUGUAGAGGUGAAAUUCGUAGAUAUUCGGAAGAACACCAGUGGCGAAGGCGACUUACUGGACGAUUGUUGACGCUGAGGUGCGAAAGGCGUGGGGAGCAAACAGG